UGGACAUGCAUACAUAUAACACACACA
rnacentral:piRNA from 1 species